UACGGAGGGAGCUAGCGUUGUUCGGAAUUACUGGGCGUAAAGCGCACGUAGGCGGCUUUGUAAGUUAGAGGUGAUAGCCUGGAGCUCAACUCCAGAAUUGCCUUUAAAACUGCAUCGCUUGAAUCCAGGAGAGGUGAGUGGAAUUCCGAGUGUAGAGGUGAAAUUCGUAGAUAUUCGGAAGAACACCAGUGGCGAAGGCGUCUCACUGGACUGGUAUUGACGCUGAGGUGCGAAAGCGUGGGGAGCAAACAGGAUUAGAUACC
rnacentral:rRNA from 1 species